GGCAUCAAUUUGGGAUUCAUUUACUUAACAAGCAGAGUGUGCAUAACCUUGCUUGUAUGGAUCUUUGGGACAAAACCAAAAAGAAUAGAGGAGACAUGUUAACAUUAAAGCUGGGAGAAGAGCCAAUGAGAAUACGCAGCAAGGUAAAAGUGAAAUUAAAAAGAGAGGUAGACAGCAAGAAGAAGGAGAAGAAGACAAGACAGCUUGCAUCAAUCCAUGAGAGUGCAUCUAAAAGGCUCCUAAGUAAUCUCUGGGUUCCUGUUAAAAUGGAGGAACUAAAAUAGAGGAGAAUACAUGCAAUUGUAUUCCUGUCUCUUCAGAGUACAUUAUCUGCAGAACGCCCUGCUCCCUGGUGGAAACAAGCAUUUAUAUCUAUCAAGAUGACUUCUAUUUCAUAACCUUCAACAAUGGAAAACAUUGUCUUGGAUGCUCAUUUUACAGUACCUUGACUGCAGUGUGCUUGCUGUUCUUCCCCAGUCUGAAAAAACAAAUGGAACAUUCUUGCAUUUAAAGAUAUGCUGCAAAAUAUGUAGCUGUCCUAUAUAUCAUUGUUUAGCUAUACAGUCCCUCAACAAUAUAAAAUCUUAAUAAAAUAGCUGUAUGAGAAAUUUUAAAAAUCGGAA